UACGAAGGGGGCUAGCGUUACUCGGAUUGACUGGGCGUAAAGGGCGCGUAGGCGGUUUGUACAGUCAGACGUGAAAUUCCUGGGCUCAACCUGGGGGCUGCGUUUGAUACGUGCAGACUUGAGUUCGGAAGAGGGUCGUGGAAUUCCCAGUGUAGAGGUGAAAUUCGUAGAUAUCGGGAGGAACACCAGUGGCGAAGGGCGGCGAUCUGGGAAGAUACUGACGCUGAGGUGCGAAAGCGUGGGGAGCAAACAGG
rnacentral:rRNA from 1 species